rnacentral:rRNA from 1 species
UACGUAGGUGGCAAGCGUUGUCCGGAUUUACUGGGCGUAAAGAGCGCGCAGGCGGUCGUUCAAGUCGCGUGUGAAAGCCCCCGGCUCAACUGGGGAGGGUCACGCGAUACUGAUCGACUUGAAGGCAGGAGAGGGAAGUGGAAUUCCCGGUGUAGUGGUGAAAUGCGUAGAUAUCGGGAGGAACACCAGUGGCGAAGGCGACUACCUGGCCUGUUCUUGACGCUGAGGCGCGAAAGCUAGGGGAGCAAACGGG